rnacentral:tRNA from 1 species
AUGGGAUACGAACCCACACCUGAAAACUCAAAAUUUCCCGUACUACCAUUAUACUUCCUCCUAGUAAAGUC